GCCUUGGGUUGCUAUGGAAACCUUCCUGAAAGCAGCCAUCUGGGACCUGGCAGAGAGAAAGACACUCAGCCUUGCUGCUGGCCUGCGAGUGCCAGGGGUAUGCAAAAGGACAGGGUGGGGGUGGAGGAAUCACAUCAGGAAGGCAGGUCACACACUGCCUAGACGCAGGAGCCAAGGCAGAUGUCAUCUACCUGGACUUUAAGAAGGCCUUCGAGACAGUUUUGCAUCCUAUUCUCAUAAGAAAUCUAGCAAGCUGUGGAGUGGAUGCUUACACAGUCAGGAAACGCCUCCAUAAGCUUUACAACCUAACCAGCCUAGCAAUGUUUUGAGUGUCUGCAACCAGAGUGGAAGGACCAGAAUGAAGCAAUUAUGGUGGACUAACAAUCUGGUUUCCUGUCUCUGAUGACCACACAAUUUAGCACAAAAGUUAAAAGAGUAUAAACCUCUUCCAUCUCACUACCUCCCACGCAGCAGGUCAGACAUUACAAAAAGCCAUUGCUGAUUUGGCAGUUGUGGCUUAGAAGGGACAUGAACAAGAUGGCAGAAGCUGGGCCAGGUUGGAAUUGGGGUGCCUUGGCAUAGCUCUGGGUGAAUGGGCUAGCAGGCUCAGAGGAUCGUGAUUCACUCACAAUAUUUUGUUGGAAACUAACUGGUAAAGAGAAUACUCAAUACUCAGAGUGUCUAAAAUCCCUGACAUUGUGAAUUGGGGAGAGAAGGAGAGGGAAAGGGGGAGGAGGGGGCAGAAUGUGUGUACACAUGCAUGCACUAGAAGGAUAAGGAAGAAGAGAGAACAAGUCAAAAGGUGUCCCCAUCUCCUGCUACACCUCCCUACCACUCCAACCUAGAGCUGGCAGAAUGAGUCAGAGCCUAGCGCUCAAAAGCAGUGAAAAGCAAACAAACUCCUCAGCACCCCACAACUGGGCUGACAAUGAUACUUCUGGAGACACAGGCUGAAGGCUUCAAUAUCCCCUUCCCCUCCAUUAAAUACCAGUGAAAAGAAUCCAACUAAAAUAUUGCAUUUCAUAACUGUUGGCUAUGGAGUCUCUGAACACCUCCUCUCUCAGUGGUGGUAUAUCCAGCUUCUCCAUAGUCAGCAAACUUCUUUCCACCCAUAAAGCAUCACUGUACCACACAGCACUUUUGUGGAACUUUGCAAACUGAACCCCCUACAGAUAAUGAAACCUAAGAGCACCCGCUCAGAGAUAAAUAUUAUUACCCUCCUUACACAAAUGGGAGACCCUGAUGCAGGGGCUAAGGGGCUGCUCUACUCUGAGGAGCAUUCUGUAGCACUGGCAUUGUAGAACCAGCAUUCAUCUUUGCUGAAUAGCUUCCAGAUCUAGCAAACUCAGAUUCUCAUAUUUCUCUCCUCCUCAACUUGCCCUGAGACCAGAGUCAAGCUGGGUCCUCUCCUAUUCAUCCACAGUUUCCAGCAGGAAAAGCUCUACAGGUCAAACUGUGGUCUCAGCGAAACCUGUGCCUUCUCAGCGCCUGUGACAGGUUCACACAGGUUUAACGGACCUUUAAUUCUUUUGAGGACAUCCAAAGACAGACUAGAUUCCACAUCACAUUCUCACAGCAGCGUUGGCUCUUCUGGGCUAACAGAAGCAAAAGGCAGUACUAGGAUCAGCAGAUGCAACAGAGUGAACAAAGGACUAACUUGCUAAGUACCCCUGGUUGAGUAGCAUACCAUUUGAGGCUGGGAUUCAGAUUCCUUCUUUCAGACCUUUCCUUUUCUAAAGCCAGACCUGACACCUCCAAAGUUUAAAGGCUACCACCCCCUAAGACCAUCCUUGAAGGAUCUGUUGGAAAUGCUACUGUCUAAAGUCUACCAUUUUGGAUCCAGAUGCUGGGAAAAAAAAAAAAGAAUUACACAUGCAAGUAACUUAACUUGCAUAUUUUUAAAGCAGCUGGAAAGUAUUAGGACCAUUAAUAACUACCAGGGUACAAGAGAUGAAUGGCACAAGACCAAUUAAUUUCAUGCUGGGGGGAAUCAGAAAGAAUUUUCUUCUUCCCUAGUACAAUCAUCCUGUUACAGUAUGGGAGCUCUCCUCUUGUCCUCUACCCAUUUCCAAAACAGACACUCACCUGAUUAGCCCAGCAAUUAGAGCUGCUGGUGAUACAAUUGGUGUGAUCUCACAAGCUGGCAAGCUAGCAGCCUGGCAUGAUGGGGUCUCUUGUUCACAAGCCAAAUUUUCACUUUUCCUAAGGGGACAUUUAAUGUUGUGCUGUAAAUAGCCAGAUCCCCGUGCUACCAGCAGCACCUGUUGUGUUCCCUCUCAGAUGCAGAAGAGCCACUUGCCCAGAAACACAAGCAUGAGGUGGAACCAACAUCCCCCUCCUUCCCUGCCUGGCGAUGGCAACAGUGUAGCUGGCAACAAAAUUAAGGAACAAGUAUCAUCCCUCAGUAGGUGGUUCCCCCUAGCUACUAGCAAGACCAGCUAAUGCAGAGUUUUUAGCUGCUCCCACAGAAGGCAGCAGGAAGAGUGGGUGUUUAAAUAGAAACAGGUGCUGAUAUUGUUGAGGCCAGAGCUUUCGGAUCAAGACUCCCGCAUCUCUCCAGGGGUAUUGAGAGAUGCAGGAUUUGUUAUAUCUGAUCAAAUCAUUUGUCUACCUCAGUGGUUCUCAAUUUUUUUUUCAGGCACUUUUAAAGUUUGUUAUUUUGUUGUGUACCUCAACAAGCCACAGAAAACUGUGUACCUGUGUAGCUCACUACAACCACAGAAACCUCUCCAGCAUCCUGAGAGAGACACAUACAGUACAGCUGUUCGUCAUGUUUACUUUAUCUCCUUUUUCCUCCAUUUCUAUUUUCCCUUUCUCCGUCCUUCUCUGUUACUCUCCAGAAGUUCACAACACACCCUCAGAGGGUGCGUCUACAAAUUCAUUAAUGUGCCAUAAUUACUGUACAUUAAGUUUGGUACUUGUAUAACCAAGUAGAAAUCAAAUGUGCAGUAGCGCCAGUGCAUGGCUUUUUUAGUGAUGCUAACUGUACAGUAGCCUAGUACUACUGCGCAGUAGCAUAUGAGCAUGGUUUUUGCCCUGCAUGCUACUGUGCAGUAGAAUUAGGCUACUGCACAGUUAAUAUCUCAUGUAGAUGCACCCCGUGAUACACAUGCCCCAGUUUGAGAGGUAUCCAUUCACCUCAUCAGCUAUCCCAGUCUAACAGAAACCAGCUCUGAACAUUUUCAAGGAGAAUAUAAAUUCUCCACAAGCCACUGAACAAUUCUUAAUUCUAAAUUGGUGACUUACAGGUGCCCAAGGUUGAGAUAUACAUCUCUUAUAAACAUCAUCUCAGCUUUGACACAGCAGAUGCUGUUCACGUUUAAUUUAGUCAAAUAUGUUUCUGAAUCUUUUUUUUAAACCUCCCGUGAUUUGGUGAGAAGUGCCAGAUUAGCAGCCUUGGAAAUGGAAACCUAUUUAUUUCCAGAGCAGGUUUCAACCCAGAGCAUCAGAGACUUGCUCCCUGACCUCUGCUGAGAGAACCAACACAAGGCAAUUGUCACAGUGGUUUUACGAUGUAGACAUCAGUCCACAGAGCUGGACCAAGACCAGCAGCUCAUUCCACUCAAACCAUUGAAGAGUCAUCAUCAUCAGAAUGCAGCAAUUUCAGUUGCUACCAACCCAGCCAGGACUGAAAACAUUGGCUUUCAUACUCUGACUAUUGCCUAUUCUCCAAAUCACACCAUCUAUUUGAAUUUUGCCGUUUGGUAAGGUACUGUCCUGCUGCAGGAUAUCCAAAAGUUAAGUAUAUACCACCCACACCUACCAACAGCAGCAGCAUCUGGAGGCAAGAGGUCCUGAAAUGAGUGUUGUUUGAUCACAAACACAUACAUAAUAAUUCCUCUAUGUUGCUAUUACUACUGUUAACUACGUACUUCAUCAUCGCCCUUCCAAAACAUGGCUUCUUUAAUGGAAAGGAGAGGACAGUGUCUAUAGAACAUCCCUUAUGGACCAGCACAGAGCUGUGCCCCUCCCCCAUGCUCUCAUCAUGUCCCCCUGCUCCCCAAAGGCAGUCAUUUCACAAGUGAUGUCACCUGGCAUUAAGGAGGCACAAAACCCAGUCCUGACUAGGAUGGGGAAAGGUGGCAACAGUUUAUAUAUUCUAUCAUUUUUCAAACAAAGUUAACUUAACCUUGCAUUAGCAGGGCAGGGCCAAUCACUAUGCUGGCCAUCCUAAUUACAUGUUAUACCUCUACCCUGUAUGCCUUCAGACUGUAAAUUCCCAGAAGAAGGACUAGUCGAUAAGCCCUCUUGUCUGUUUGGGAACACUACAGAGAAUAAAUAAGAAGUUAAUCCUCUUUCCGGUACCAGAGACCUGUUCUCUCUGGUCUCUGCGGCAACCCAAAGACUGCCUGGAAUCCAGAUUAUCCAGCAAGCAGCAGCGGUCCAUUGUUUCUUUCUGGGCUGGAAGGUGCUCCUAGUGAUCUCAAGAUUCAGCCACCAUACAAUGUCAUGUCUGCUGCUUGCAAGUGCCUUGGUUUGUUCUCAUUUGUUAUCUUUUUUUAAAAGCAAAGGAUGCUUGAUUUCUUCAAGAGACACUUCCUGCUUUACUCUUCUUAAGACAUUGCAUGUAACAAGGUAUCCUGAGGAUGACUAUGAUUUCACAAUGUGGGGACCUAUGACAACAUCUAAAGAAAAACUAAGUUGGUGUUGACAUCCACAGCAAAAAAGCAACUCCUGCAAUUCAAUCAUCCCCUAAAGCAUUACGGGAGGAGAAUAUAAAUACGAAAGGAAAAACAUUUCCCUUUUCCGCCCCCCAUCUGACCUUGGCGGCUCUGUAAGCAAUUUCUGAUAGAGCAGGGCCCCAAAACCACUCCCUGCAAAGAGAUUAGGCCUCAUUCACCCUGUUGGUUCUCCCCUUCUCUGCAUUCAUAUCGUCCUGCAUAAUAAACUGUUGCAUAAGUCCCCA